AAGAAAUUAUAUAUUUUUUUUAAUAUUUUUAUAUUAAAAAAUUCAGAAGUGAAAUAAAUAAAAAACUAAACAAUCAAGGGGUAUUAAAAAAAAAGACUAAAUAACAAAUAAUAUUAUAACUACCAACCAACACACCGAAAUUUGAAAAAAAAUAUAAAAAGUCUUGAGUCAUAUUUUUUUCUUUUAUUAAAACCAGAAAGGUGUGGAGUAAAAAAUAUUAAAAUUUUAUCAUAAUUUUCUAUAUAAAAAUUAGAAGUGGAAGUAAAAAGAAAAAAAGAAAAAAUCAAAGGGUAUAACAAAAAAUAAAAUUAAAAGAAAUAAAGGGUGAUUAAAAAAAAAUAUAAAAGGGUUGAAUGUGAAAGUGAUGGGAAGAGAGAGAAUUGAGAGUUAUAUAGAGAGAAGAAGAGAAAGUGAUGGAGGAGAGAGAGGAAGUGAUAUUUGGGCGAAAACAAAAUAAUUUGAGGUGAAAAUUUGAGUCGUUGAAUUCAACUCAAAUUGAUUUCAGCCGUAGAUAGCGGAGAGGAGAUUUUGCGAUUAACACGUAAUUGUAAUUUAGAAUAGCAGAUAUAUAUACUUCUUUUUAAAUUAUAUUUUUAUGUAUAUGGAGUUUGCAUCUUAAGCUCUAUUAAUAAUAGGCUAAUAGUUUCCUAAGUUUUCUCAACAAUCUAACUCACGAGGAAUUAGUUUUUUCAAGAUAAAAUUUCAUGUAAACAAGUAUCUUUAACAAAUUUACCUUUACUUGCCAAACCUUAAAGUACGGCCUCCGUUUGGUAUGCUUAAAAGCCAAGAUUUUUAAGCUCUAUCAAAAAGAUCCAAGAAUUUAAUUUUUUGAUUUUGUGGUUUUACUUUAGCUAAAAACUAAGCAAAAAAAGCAAAAAUCAGAAAAGCAAAAAAGCCAACUUGAUUGGCUUUUUUGCUUAUUUUAGCCCAAAAAAUUUGAACAAAGCUAAAAAAGCUGGUGCCAAACGGAGCCUUGACUUCUAUUGUAGAGUUUGCAAUAAUAGUAUUGCUUAGGAGAUUCUCGAACCAGAAAAGCAUCCAAUGACUACGAAAGAAUUGAAUAGAGCUUAUGAUAUGAAAAUUGACAAAAAGAAGAGUGAUUCGACUCAAUGUUCUAUCUAUACCCGAAUUCCAAUCACCUAUUCAUUUGAAUGCUAAUAAUUAGCACCACAUUUCUUAAAGUAAAAUAUAACUAAGUAUAGAGAGAAAUCACCUACAAAUUCUAAUUGGCACUCACUAUAUCCUUCAAGCAUUCUAUGAUAUGUUUUUUUGUAAAAUCAAGCCAUAAUAUUGUAACCAAAUUAUUCUCAUUAUUCUAUCCAUGACAUGUCAAUAAUCAUUAGUUCGACUUACUAGUCACUUACUAGUACACUCAUAUUUAGAUCUAACGUCACGUCUAUGCAAUAAUACUUCGCAUAACAUCUAUUAAAUCCUGCCAUCAUAUGUCUUUUGAUUAGUACCUCCCUAUCAUUUAUAACAACAAAUAGAUGUAUACAUGCAUAAAAAUGUAUAGGAACAUACUUGCAAUCAUAAGUGGAUUAUACUUGGUUCAUAUUUUUCUCCGUACACUGCGACUGUUGAAAGAAUAUUUUCUUCAAUAGUUUUAUUGAUUUUUAGAGUCUCAUUUAUCAUAUGCAAGUUAGAGCCAAAAAAUUAGCAAUUCACCACAUAGAGGCUACUACUCACCACUGUGCUUGGCACAUUGAGUAGAAUGUAUUCAUUUGAAUAUCCUCAUUUUUUAAUAUAAAUGCUUAGGUUAUAUAAGUUUUGGGGGUAAUGCCAUUUUUUGUAUCCCCAGCUGAUAUGCAUUGAAUACACAGCCUGUUUAAUUGUGCACAACCAGAUAAUCCAAUGCCCACAACUCAGCCCUUUAUAUUGAACAUUAAGCCCCACGUUCAGGAAAAACAACCCUUAAUCAAAAUAACGACAACCCAAUUAAAUAUUUAGUUCUUAGAAUGUGUAGGACAAAUGAGACAAAGCAGAAUAAGGGAACACGCAACUCAAUAUCUUUUGCUCAUUUCUCCUCCUAAAAAGUAAUAGAUAAACUACACGGACUCAAACAUCAGGUCCUCUCUCUGUUCAUUUACGUAUAAAAUCGAUAUAAAUGAUUUUUUUUUUCUUUUGGGGGGAGGUGUCCCAAUUGGUGGAUGACCUAGAACACAGUCAAUUUUUUUUUUCUAUAUGAGGAGAAAUACUUUUUUGUUUUCCAGUUGAAAUAAAAAAAUCAUUGCGCCAUGACAUCAAGUCGAGUCAUGGAGGCCAAUACCUUUGAUCCAUUUACGCUGAAAAAGUUUUGCGAAAUAGAAGCAAAUGGUUCGACAGAGACAAGAAUACAAGUAAACUUCAUACAGUCCACUCUAUGCCUCUUAAAAACCUAACACCUCAAUAAGGCAUCAUUUGUUUUUAGAAUUCUCAUUUUUGGCAUCGUAAUCAAACUUCAUUAUCUAAUUUUUUCAUGUACAUUCUCAGUUUUAGCAAGUCGCCGCACACCUGUUUGGUAAGUUUGGGCGGUGCUUAUGGGUUCCAAUUUCUAACACAUCCGAUUUGCCAAAAAAUUGUCGAAGAAUUUUAAAAACCUCGAUAGAAAGAUUCUGAAUUGGGUAAACGAAGAGUGAUAUUAAUGGUACAAUUGAACGAGAAAAGCCACAUAAACUCCAACAAAAGAAUGCGAAAAGAAUGAUAAAGAAUGUUGAGGAGAUGGAAAAAAUUAUAACGAUCAAACGAGUCAGAGUUCGAAGAUGAGAAGAAAUGCCUCUCAGAGGAUUAUUGUGGAAUUUUGGACGUAUGAAGCUUGGUACACGAGUGGUAAAUAUGAUCGUGAGGUUGAAGAACUUUAAAGAAGUCUAACUUUGAAAAAUGGCUCUCUCAUGAUUCACCCACUCAAUGUUGAGUUAAGAAGAAGCCAAUUCUUGCUUCAAAAUUCACAGCUUCUGCCUUUAACACAAUGGAGAAGGUACUAGAAAAGAUUCGAGACAAGACCACUCCAAAGAUUGGUAUUUGGGGAAUGGGUGGAGUGGGCAAGACCACUGUCAUGCAACUCCUAAACAAUAGCCCUGAGAUCGCAUCAAUGUUUGAUUUUGUGAUAUGGGUGACCGUCUCAAAAUCUUGGACCAUUAGACAGGUACAAGAGGAAGUUGUGCAGCGUUUAUCAAUGGAAAUAAAAAAUGAGGGUCAACGAAGAGUUGUUGCAAAUUGUUAUGAGGAACUGAGGGCAAGAAAUUUUGUUGCUUUAGACGAUUGUUUGGCAGGAGGGGAUUUAAAUGUUGAGGGGUUCCAAACUGCCCAUCAAGAAAACUGGGUGCAAAGUGGUUUGACAACCAGAAAAAAGAGACGUUUGUCAGAAGAUGGAGAUUGAUUAUAUGAUCAAGGUGGAAGGUUUGACUUGAAAAAGAAGCAGGGAGAGGUUCACACUAAAAGUGGGGAAUGUUGUAGAGCUCCAACCACAGAACAAUAUGCUGAAGAAAUAGUCAGAAAAUGUGGGGGCUGCCACUUGACAAUUAAGGGUUGUGGGUGGGUUUACGAAAUAAAAAUAAAGAGAAUUUUGGAAGCAGUUCUUAAAAAACUUAAAGUCACAGGAGAGGCUGUGAUGAAGAUAUUAAUGAAAGAUUAGUGUUCAAGCCAUUAAACAGUUAGUUAUGAUUGUUAAUUAGACAUAAGAACGAAUUGUUUCUUUGUUUUGUGGACCUAGUAUCCGGAGAUAAGAAGAUUGGCGUAUUCGAAAUUGAUAGGUUACUGGAGAGCAGAAGGGGUCUUUCAGGUAAAACUUACUUGGCAGACGCACGUGUGUUAAGGGGAAGUAAUAUUGGAAGCCUUAUAGAUGCGUUUUGGUGGAAAAGUGCGAUGGAGAGAUGUCCAAUGACUAUUGAAGAUGCACGAUGUGGUUCGAGGACUCUUGGUGUUGGCAAAUGACUUCCCUGAAAGGAGCGGAGUGCUUGACACCUUGUGAGAGCUGGAAACUUCUUUACGGAGAAGAAUCCAGAGGAUGAGGAAUGGGGAAAAGGCAACAAGAAAUGUAGUUUAUGGAUAACCUUACACUUGAGCAAUUUGCCAAAAAUCCCACAAUUGUUCCCAUUGCUCUUGAAUUACUGUCUUCGAGGGUUUAUAGCCUAACAGGUGAUUCCGGAAUCUUUCUUCGACAAACAUGCCCAAACUUCCAUGUCUUAGAUCUCUCUAGCACUUGUAUCAAUUUUGCCGAUUUCUGAUAUCUAAAUUGGUCACUCUUCGUGAGCUUACUUGUGAACGAUUGUGUCUUUGAUGUAUACAUGUGGAGCUUAAGUGAACUACAGUCACUUGAGAGGUACUUGACGUCACAAUGGCCAGUUGGACGUCCACCCCUUUGGACUUUUGAAACUGACCACUCUUAAAGAUUGAAGAAUGAAGAUAUGAGGUCUUAUGAUAAUUUGUUGAUAGUGGGCAAAUUCUUAUUCCUAGGUUGAUAGAGAGAUAUAUCAGAUGGAGAAUUUUGGUUCCAAAACUUUUUGUAUGACUUGGGGUGGUAAGUGAUAAAAGUGACAUGGUUAUUGUGCAGUGAGCCUGAGCAACUUUUGUUCCUUUCUUACUGAUAUUAAGUUCUGCGUGCAAGUCAUCUCAAUACUUCCGUCAAAAAAGUGUGAGAUCAUGAGAGAGGACAAAUUAACGAAAUCUGGGUUUGGUAUUGGCCAAUAAAUGUGAAUCGUUAAGGUGGUAAAAAGAAAUGUCUAAGUUAUAAAGGAGGGACCGACGAGGAGAAGAUCAUAGCAUAUGCCUGGGCAAUGAGGAUUGUACUCAUUCGUUCGAAAUGCUUUUGAAACUAGUUGGGCCAUGGAGAACUUGACGACUCUAUAAGAUUUGGGCACACGAAAACACUUACGAGUUAAAAAUUCUGCCAUUGUAAAUUCUUGCAACAUGCUUGAAAAAUGUCGGAUAGAAACGGGCUAGAAAUGGUGUUUUUGGGAAAAUUAGAAAUUUUAACAUUGAGUAAUCUGAGGAAUUUGAAGUGCUUUUGAGAUGGAAGGGGACCA
rnacentral:lncRNA from 1 species